AAAGGAAUAGACGGGGGCCCGCACAAGCGGAGGAACAUGUGGUUUAAUUCGAUGAUACGCGAGGAACCUUACCCGGGCUAGAACGCAGAGGGAAUAUACGGGAAACUGUAUAGCCAGAAAUGGUCGUCUGCGAGGUGCUGCAUGGUUGUCGUCAGCUCGUGCCGUGAGGUGUCGGCUUAAGUGCCAUAACGAGCGCAACCCUUAUUGUUAGUUGCCAUCGAGUAAUGUCGGGGACUCUAGCAAAACUGCCUGCGUAAGCUGUGAGGAAGGUGGGGAUGACGUCAAAUCAGCACGGCCCUUACGUCCGGGGCGACACACGUGUUACAAUGGGGGGUACAGAGGGUCGCUACCACGCGAGUGGAUGCCAAUCCCGAAAGCCUCUCUCAGUUCGGAUCGAAGUCUGCAACUCGACUUCGUGAAGCCGGAUUCGCUAGUAAUCGCGCAUCAGCCAUGGCGCGGUGAAUACGUUCCCGGGCCUUGUACACACCGCCCGU
rnacentral:rRNA from 1 species